ACGCUGGCGGCGUGCCUAAUACAUGCAAGUCGAGCGAAGUUUUUCUGGUGCUUGCACUAGAAAAACUUAGCGGCGAACGGGUGAGUAACACGUAAAGAACCUGCCUCAUAGACUGGGACAACUAUUGGAAACGAUAGCUAAUACCGGAUAACAGCAUUAACUGCAUGGUUGAUGUUUAAAAGUUGGUUUUGCUAACACUAUGAGAUGGCUUUGCGGUGCAUUAGCUAGUUGGUGGGGUAAAGGCCUACCAAGGCGACGAUGCAUAGCCGACCUGAGAGGGUGAUCGGCCACACUGGGACUGAGACACGGCCCAGACUCCUACGGGAGGCAGCAGUAGGGAAUCUUCCGCAAUGGGCGAAAGCCUGACGGAGCAACGCCGCGUGAGUGAAGAAGGAUUUCGGUUCGUAAAGCUCUGUUGUUAGGGAAGAAUGAUUGUGUAGUAACUAUACACAGUAGAGACGGUACCUAACCAGAAAGCCACGGCUAACUACGUGCCAGCAGCCGCGGUAAGACGUAGGUGGCAAGCGUUGUCCGGAAUUAUUGGGCGUAAAGCGCGCGCAGGUGGUUUAAUAAGUCUGAUGUGAAAGCCCACGGCUCAACCGUGGAGGGUCAUUGGAAACUGUUAAACUUGAGUGCAGGAGAGAAAAGUGGAAUUCCUAGUGUAGCGGUGAAAUGCGUAGAGAUUAGGAGGAACACCAGUGGCGAAGGCGGCUUUUUGGCCUGUAACUGACACUGAGGCGCGAAAGCGUGGGGAGCAAACAGGAUUAGAUACCCUGGUAGUCCACGCCGUAAACGAUGAGUGCUAAGUGUUGGUCUCAUAAGAGAUCAGUGCUGCAGCUAACGCAUUAAGCACUCCGCCUGGGGAGUACGACCGCAAGGUUGAAACUCAAAGGAAUUGACG
rnacentral:rRNA from 1 species